rnacentral:tRNA from 2 species
UGGGGAUUAGUCUAGCGGUAGGACAGCGGGCUCUGGACCCGUGAGGCCAGGUUCGAAUCCUGGAUCCCCAGCCA